rnacentral:rRNA from 1 species
CCCCCNCAGGGGAGGNGCCNGGGCAGNAUUUUCNNCAAUGGGCGAAACCCAAGCGGAGCAAAACCCAGGGGGGGAGGAAGGGAANGGGUUUUAAUCCUCUUUUUUCAGGGACAAGCAAAAUGACGGUACCUGAGGAAUCAGCAUAGGCUAACUCCGUGCCAGCAGNNGCGGUAAUACGGAGGAUGCAAGCGUUAUCCGGAAUGAUUGGGCGUAAAGGGUUNGCAGGUGGCGAGGUAAGUCUGCUGUUAAANGUCCCNNUCAACCCNNAACCGGCGGUGGAAANACAAAGCUAGAGUGUGGUAGGGGCAGAGGGAAUUCCCGGUGUAUAGAGAAAAAUGUANAGAUCUGGAAGAACACCCGUGGGGAAAGCGCUCUGCUAGGCCUAAACUGACACUCAGGGACGAAAGAUAGGGGAGAGAAUGCAAUUAGAUACCCCAGUAGUCCUAGCCCUAAACAAUAGAUACUACNNGUNNCACGUAUCNACCCNNCAGUGCCGUAGCUAACGCGUAAG